GACACCGAUCCCGAUUUCCAAUCCAAUGCUUGGCUUUCAGCCCUGCAAUUAAACGGAUCUGCCACUCCUCUGGGCGCAAUCACUCACCAUCAUGAAAGAGUAGAUCACGUCAUCGGUGUUAUCAAAUCCUGCAAUCCCAAUGGGUUUGGAGAUGCAACAGUUACACUCAAGGACCCUACGGGCACUGUUGGCGCUAGUAUCCAUCACAAGGUCUUCACUGAAAGCGUAUUUGCGAAAGACAUAACUGUUGGAUCUGUUCUGCUUCUCCAAAAGGUCGCUGUGUUCUCUCCUAGAAAGUCUAAUUGUUAUCUGAAUAUAACCUUGUCCAAUGUAGUCAAGGUAUGAUAAUCUUCUUCCACAUCUAAAAUAAAGCAUUUGAAUCUUUUCCACAUCUACAACAAAGCAUUUGAAUCUGUUUUCAUUAUACAGGUAUUUUCAAAGGACAGUGCAC